rnacentral:lncRNA from 1 species
AGAACUACAUUGGUUAUUGAGAUUGAGAUGGUUAUUUGUUAUUGACUGAGAUGGUCAGAGAACACUGGCUCAUCACAUCCUAAAUUCAAUUCCCUCUAGUGCCCAAUACUUUUUCUGAAUAUUAGGAGUGAUCGCUAAAUUCAUACUGUAACAAUUUUUGCAAUCUAUAAAGAUGGCUACCCAAAAGAAACCAAGAAAAGAAUCUCAGGGGACUCUGAUUUCCGUAAGCUAUGGGGCAGGUUGUAGAUCAAUGUGGUAGAUGAGAGAAACUUAAUACAAAACUAACAGUAUUAGUCAGUACAGGAAAUCCAGCAACCAUUUCAACUGGUUUCAACGGCAAUUGUUGAGCUUAUAGAGGCUACUAGAAA